rnacentral:lncRNA from 1 species
AGUAGAGAAAAACACAGGACUAUGUUGGACAGUCCUGGUCUUGAACUCCUGACCUCAGGUGAUCAGCCCGCCUCGGCCUCCCAAAGUGCUGGGGAUUACAGGUGUGAGCCACCAUGCCCGGCCUUCAAUCUGUUCCAGUAAAGAUUUGAUCAAGACUACUCUUCUGAGACUGCUGUUGUCAAGGUCAGAAUCUUAGGAUGACCGAAUCACAAAAUAGAUAAAGAAGGAAAUACUCAACCAAAGCAGAGGAAAGCUCUAAAGAUUUACUGUUUCUGCAGAAGUAUGCAGGAAGAUUUAUUUACUGAGAUGAAUGCAAAAAUGGGUUAUCAGGAGUGCAGUAGUGUGAUCUUGGCUCACUGCAACCUCCAUCUGCUGGGCUCGAUUCUCCCACCUUGGUCACCAGAUUAGCUGGCAAUACAGGUAUGUGCUAGCAAUUCUGGCUAAUUUUUUUUUUUUUUUUUUUUUUUUUUUUUUUGCAUAGCUGGGGUUUCAACAUGUUGUUCAGCCUGGUCUCAAACUUCUGGGCUCAAGUAACCUGCCUGCCUUGGCUUUCCAAAGUGCUGA